GCCCGUGUGGUGGAAUGGUAGACACGUCAGAUUCAAAAUCUGAUGCAGCAAUGCGUGCCGGUUCAAGUCCGGCCACGGGUA
rnacentral:tRNA from 1 species